rnacentral:tRNA from 1 species
GGGCCGCUAGCUCAAUUGGCAGAGCAACUGACUCUUAAUCAGUAGGUUCGAGGUUCGAUUCCUCGGCGGCUCACCA